UACAGAGGGUGCAAGCGUUGUUCGGAAUUAUUGGGCGUAAAGGGAGUGUAGGCGGCCCAUUAAGUUUCCUGUGAAAUCUACGGGCUUAGCCUGUAACGUGCAGGAAAAACUGAUGAGCUGGAGUGUCGGAGAGGAGAGCGGAAUUCCCGGUGUAGAGGUGAAAUUCGUAGAGAUCGGGAGGAACACCAGUGGCGAAGGCGGCUCUCUGGCUGACAACUGACGCUGAGACUCGAAAGUAUGGGGAGCAAACAGG
rnacentral:rRNA from 1 species